rnacentral:rRNA from 1 species
ACCCACGCGAGUGGGGUGGCGAAUCUCGAAAGCCUAUCUCAGUUCGGAUUGGAGGCUGAAACCCGCCUCCAUGAAGUUGGAUUCGCUAGUAAUCGCGCAUCAGCCAUGGCGCGGUGAAUACGUUCCCGGGCCUUGUACACACCGCCCGUCAAGCCAUGGGAGCUGGGGGUGCCUGAAGUUCGUGACCGCAAGGAUCGACCUAGGGCAAAACCGGUGACUGGGGCUAAGUCGUAACAAGGUAGC